rnacentral:rRNA from 1 species
UGCCUUGGUGCCUUCGGGAACGCUGAGACAGGUGCUGCAUGGCUGUCGUCAGCUCGUGUUGUGAAAUGUUGGGUUAAGUCCCGCAACGAGCGCAACCCUUAUCCUUUGUUGCCAGCGAUUCGGUCGGGAGCUCAAAGGAGACUGCCGGUGAUAAACCGGAGGAAGGUGGGGAUGACGUCAAGUCAUCAUGGCCCUUACGAGUAGGGCUACACACGUGCUACAAUGGCGCAUACAAAGAGAAGCGACCUCGCGAGAGCAAGCGGACCUCAUAAAGUGCGUCGUAGUCCGGAUCGGAGUCUGCAACUCGACUCCGUGAAGUCGGAAUCGCUAGUAAUCGUGGAUCAGAAUGCCACGGUGAAUACGUUCCCGGGCCUUGUACACACCGCCCGUCACACCAUGGGAGUGGGUUGCAAAAGAAGUAGGUAGCUUAACCCUCGGGAGGGCGCUUACCACUUUGUGAUUCAUGACUGGGGUGAAGUCGUAACAAGGUAAGCGUAGUGCU